rnacentral:rRNA from 1 species
CACGUAGGGUGCGAGCGUUGUCCGGAAUUAUUGGGCGUAAAGAGCUCGUAGGCGGUGUGUCGCGUCGGCCGUGAAAACCUGCAGCUUAACUGUGGGCGUGCGGUCGAUACGGGCAUCACUGGAGUUCGGCAGGGGAGACUGGAACUCCUGGUGUAGCGGUGAAAUGCGCAGAUAUCAGGAGGAACACCGGUGGCGAAGGCGGGUCUCUGGGCCGAUACUGACGCUGAGGAGCGAAAGCGUGGGGAGCGAACAGG